rnacentral:rRNA from 1 species
UGUUUCGGCUAGGGGGUCAUCCCGACUUACCAACCCGAUGCAAACUACGAAUACCGAAGAAUGUUAUCACGGGAGACACACGGCGGGUGCUAACGUCCGUCGUGAAGAGGGAAACAACCCAGACCGCCAGCUAAGGUCCCAAAGUCACAGUUAAGUGGGAAACGAUGUGGGAAGGCACAGACAGCCAGGAUGUUGGCUUAGAAGCAGCCAUCAUUUAAAGAAAGCGUAAUAGCUCACUGGUCGAGUCGGCCUGCGCGGAAGAUGUAACGGGGCUAAACUGUGCACCGAAGCUGCGGCAGCGACACUAUGUGUUGUUGGGUAGGGGAGCGUUCUGUAAGCCUGCGAAGGUGGCCUGUGAGGGUUGCUGGAGGUAUCAGAAGUGCGAAUGCUGACAUAAGUAACGAUAAUGCGGGUGAAAAGCCCGCACGCCGGAAGACCAAGGGUUCCUGUCCAACGUUAAUCGGGGCAGGGUGAGUCGACCCCUAAGGCGAGGCCGAAAGGCGUAGUCGAUGGGAAACAGGUUAAUAUUCCUGUACUUGGUGUUACUGCGAAGGGGGGACGGAGAAGGCUAUGUUAGCCGGGCGACGGUUGUCCCGGUUUAAGCAUGUAGGCGGAGGUUCCAGGUAAAUCCGGUACCUUAUUAACGCUGAGGUGUGAUGACGAGGCACUACGGUGCUGAAGUAACAAAUGCCCUGCUUCCAGGAAAAGCCUCUAAGCAUCAGGUAACAUUAAAUCGUACCCCAAACCGACACAGGUGGUCAGGUAGAGAAUACCAAGGCGCUUGAGAGAACUCGGGUGAAGGAACUAGGCAAAAUGGUGCCGUAACUUCGGGAGAAGGCACGCUGAUAUGUAGGUGAAGCCCCUGCGG